AGCAGCCGCGGUAAUUCCAGCUCCAAUAGCGUAUAUUAAAGUUGUUGCAGUUAAAAAGCUCGUAGUUGAAUUUCGGGGUCAGCAUGUCGGUCGUGCCACUGGUACGUACUGGCGUUGCUGAUUCCUCCCUCUUGACGAACCGUAAUGCCAUUAAUUUGGUGUUGCGGGGAAUCAGGACUGUUACUUUGAAAAAAUUAGAGUGUUUAAAGCAGGCAUGCGCUUGAAUACAUUAGCAUGGAAUAAUGAAAUAGGACGUUCGAUCCUAUUUUGUUGGUUUCUAGGAUUGACGUAAUGAUUAAUAGGGAUAGUUGGG
rnacentral:rRNA from 1 species